rnacentral:rRNA from 1 species
AACGAACGCUGGCGGCAUGCCUAACACAUGCAAGUCGAACGAGACCUUCGGGUCUAGUGGCGCACGGGUGCGUAACGCGUGGGAACCUGCCCUUAGGUUCGGAAUAACUCCCCGAAAGGGGUGCUAAUACCGGAUAAUGUCUUCGGACCAAAGAUUUAUCGCCUUUGGAUGGGCCCGCGUUGGAUUAGCUAGUUGGUAGGGUAAAAGCCUACCAAGGCGACGAUCCAUAGCUGGUCUGAGAGGAUGAUCAGCCACACUGGGACUGAGACACGGCCCAGACUCCUACGGGAGGCAGCAGUGGGGAAUAUUGGACAAUGGGCGAAAGCCUGAUCCAGCAAUGCCGCGGGAGUGAUGAAGGCCUUAGGGUUGUAAAGCUCUUUUACCCGGGAUGAUAAUGACAGUACCGGGAGAAUAAACUCCGGCUAACUCCGU